rnacentral:tRNA from 1 species
GGUUUUAUGGUCUAGGGGUCCGGACAUUGGACUCUGAAUCCAGUAACUCGAGUUCAAGUCUCUAUGGAAUCU